rnacentral:lncRNA from 1 species
GUUCAGUUUAGAAAGUCUGUGCUAUUUUCCUGAGCAGUGUAACUACAUGUCAGGAAAACAACAGCAGCAACAGAGAAAAAGCAAUAUGUAUAAUUAUACAGAAGCUGGAGGUAGCGUCUUUCCAGCUAAAGGAUGGAAUAAAGCGGGACACUGGGGGAAUGUGAAGAAAGUGACUGGAAUUAUGGAUCCCAGGGAGAGUACCUGCCCUGUGCAAUGGACUGCCAUGGUCAGAGUUACCACAGAAUAGAGCUCCUGGAUCUGUGCAGCACAGAAAUACUGUGGAAUGUGUGAAGAUCUUCAGUGGUAAUCAUCUCAAAUCAUCUGGUCAGUCCCAUGGCUGUGGCAGGCAGAGAGUGCCAAGCAGCACUGAAGAAGCUGUGCCUUGAAAGAUGAUCACCUGCGGAAGGCACUGAGAUUCCCAAGGAAAGAACUGAUAUUUGAAGGCAGAAGAGAUCACAGACUUCAGAAGCGGUGACUGCAGCCUAGAAUAAAAUCAGUGGCACAGGACUCA